rnacentral:rRNA from 1 species
UACGUAGGGUGCAAGCGUUGUUCGGAAUUACUGGGCGUAAAGGGCGCGUAGGCGGGCGUGAAAGUCAAUUGUGAAAGCCCCAGGCUUAACCUGGGAAUGGCAGUCGAAACUCCACGUCUUGAGUGCUUGAGAGGAUGGUGGAAUUCCUGGUGUAGAAGUGAAAUUCGUAGAUAUCAGGAGGAACACCGGAGGCGAAGGCGGCCAUCUGGCAAGACACUGACGCUGAGGCGCGAAAGUGCGGUGAG